rnacentral:pre_miRNA from 1 species
UCUUGUGGAUGAGCAAAGAAAGUAGUUUCUUGAGAUGGAAUCUACUCCUGGUUGUAAUGCUGUGAA